UAACCAGGCUGAGUGAUCGCGUGCAAAAGCAUGAGGAAAGUCCGAGCUCCACAGAGCAAGGGUGCUGGCUAACGGCCAGUGAAGGCGACUUUAAGGACAGUGCAACAGAAAUAAACCGCCUGUAAAGGUAAGGAUGGAAAGGCGAGGUAAGAGCUCACCAGCACAUAGGCGACUAUGUGGCUAUGUAAACCCCACCCGGAGCAAGGUCAAAUAGGGAAUUGUAUGAACGGCUCGUUCACCCGUGGUAGACCGCAUGAGCAGUCUGGUGACAGGCUGCCAAGAUAGAUGAUCACACAAACAGAACUCGGCUUAUAGGCUUGGUUAGUCG
rnacentral:RNase_P_RNA from 1 species